GAUGAACGCUAGCGGCAGGCUUAAUACAUGCAAGUCGUGGGGCAGCGCAGUGUAGCAAUACAUGGGCGGCGACCGGCAAACGGGUGCGGAACACGUACACAACCUUCCUUCAAAUGGGGAAUAGCCCAGGGAAACUUGGAUUAAUACCCCGUAACAUUAUGAGGUGGCAUCACUUUAUAAUUAUAGCUCCGGCGUUUGGAGAUGGGUGUGCGGCUGAUUAGGUAGUUGGCGGGGAACGGCCCACCAAGCCUUCGAUCAGUAACUGGUGUGAGAGCACGACCAGUCACACGGGCACUGAGACACGGGCCCGACUCUACGGGAGGCAGCAGUAAGGAAUAUUGGGCAAUGGACGCAAGUCUGACCCAGCCAUGCCGCGUGGAGGAUGAAGGUCCCUCUGGAUUUGUAAAACUUCUUUUCUCUGGGGCGAAAAAUAGGUAUUCUUACUUACUUGACAGUACCAGAGGAAUAA
rnacentral:rRNA from 1 species